CAUCUUGUUACAAAUCUGAAUGGCUGCUCUUUGGAGGCAUCUACCUCUGGCCUUGGAAUCUCCAGGGAAGACCUUGAGGAAGUCCUGGCCUAAGGACACUCACCUCUCUCCCCAGGAGUGUCUUUUAGGGACCCCAAACCCAAAGGUAUUCAAGCAGCAGAGCUACGGAAUAUGGGAAGAGAUGCAGAUUUGGAGGGGAAGACAGAGUCAAGCUACGGACAUGUGGAGUUGAGGUGCUGGUGGGACAAUCGAGGGCAUGCUGAGUUGUCUGUGGCUAUCUGGAGCUCAGAAGAGGAGGGAAGGACCAUAAAGAUCCGGAAUCAUCAGUGAGAGCUGGAGUUGUAGGUGGGAGUGGAUGAGACCACAUGAGCAAGGGAGAAGAGGGGAGAGACGGGAGGGAACCAAGAAGACAGCUGCAUAGAGAAACUGGAGAAACUGGAGAAAACAAAGAUUUGGGGAGCAGAGGAACGGCUGCAGGUGAAGGAGGCUGACAGGGGACAGAGAUUUCACUGAAGCCAGAGGAAGGGCCAUGUCAGAAACUAAAGUGGGAGAAAAUGUCAUGAAGGAGAGAUUUAUAUUCGAUUACAAUCAACAACGCUUUAAAAUCAUUCUUACAGAGAGAGCUCUCACCAAUUGAUAAGAAACACUAAAACAGUGGUAGGCUAAAGUUCAAAGCACAGGAACGACUCUUCAGGGAAAGAGGAAACACAGCUCGUAAGCAGAGGCAGGAGAAUGUUCAACCUGAUUGUCAUCAAAGUGAUGCCAAUUAUAACCAGACAAAGGUAGGCACCAUUUUCAAACAUUGGCGAGAGUGCGGUGAAAUGUACAUGCUGUUGGUGGUGGUAUAACCUCUUUUGAAAUCAAUUUGGCAAUAUAUAGUAACAAGUAUAAAAUAUUUUUACCCUUUGACUCAAUAACCCCACGCAAUGUGCCCUAAACUAGAUUUCUAUAGCCAAAAUUCGGGUAGGGGGAAGUGGAAUAUGUGCAUAAUGAUGUUCACCACCACACUCUUUAUAAUAUGGAAAAUUAGAAACAAUUUAAA
rnacentral:lncRNA from 1 species